rnacentral:rRNA from 1 species
UAGGGAAUCUUCCGCAAUGGACGCAAGUCUGACGGAGCAACGCCGCGUGAGUGAAGAAGGAUUUCGGUUCGUAAAACUCUGUUGUUAGAGAAGAACAGCGCAUAGAGUAACUGUUAUGCGUGUGACGGUAUCUAACCAGAAAGCCACGGCUAACUACGUGCCAGCAGCCGCGGUAAUACGUAGGUGGCAAGCGUUGUCCGGAUUUAUUGGGCGUAAAGCGAGCGCAGGCGGUCAACUAAGUCUGAUGUGAAAGCCCCCGGCUCAACCGGGGAGGGUCAUUGGAAACUGGUUGACUUGAGUGCAGAAGAGGAGAGUGGAAUUCCAUGUGUAGCGGUGAAAUGCGUAGAUAUAUGGAGGAACACCAGUGGCGAAGGCGACUCUCUGGUCUGUAACUGACGCUGAGGCUCGAAAGCGUGGGUAGCAAACAGG